rnacentral:rRNA from 1 species
ACGCUGGCGGCAGGCCUAACACAUGCAAGUCGAGCGGAUGAAAGGAGCUUGCUCCUGGAUUCAGCGGCGGACGGGUGAGUAAUGCCUAGGAAUCUGCCUGGUAGUGGGGGACAACGUUUCGAAAGGAACGCUAAUACCGCAUACGUCCUACGGGAGAAAGCAGGGGACCCUCGGGCCUUGCGCUAUCAGAUGAGCCUAGGUCGGAUUAGCUAGUUGGUGAGGUAAUGGCUCACCAAGGCGACGAUCCGUAACUGGUCUGAGAGGAUGAUCAGUCACACUGGAACUGAGACACGGUCCAGACUCCUACGGGAGGCAGCAGUGGGGAAUAUUGGACAAUGGGCGAAAGCCUGAUCCAGCCAUGCCGCGUGUGUGAAGAAGGUCUUCGGAUUGUAAAGCACUUUAAGUUGGGAGGAAGGGCAGUAAACUAAUACUUUGCUGUUUUGACGUUACCGACAGAAUAAGCACCGGCUAACUCUGUGCCAGCAGCCGCGGUAAUACAGAGGGUGCAAGCGUUAAUCGGAAUUACUGGGCGUAAAGCGCGCGUAGGUGGUUUGUUAAGUUGGAUGUGAAAUCCCCGGGCUCAACCUGGGAACUGCAUCCAAAACUGGCAAGCUAGAGUAUGGUAGAGGGUGGUGGAAUUUCCUGUGUAGCGGUGAAAUGCGUAGAUAUAGGAAGGAACACCAGUGGCGAAGGCGACCACCUGGACUGAUACUGACACUGAGGUGCGAAAGCGUGGGGAGCAAAC